rnacentral:rRNA from 1 species
UUCGGUCAAUUGAAGCUUUGACUUAGUGGCGGACGGGUGAGUAACACGUGAGCAACCUGCCUUUCAGAGGGGGAUAACGGCUGGAAACGGUCGCUAAUACCGCAUGAUGUGUUCGGAUGGCAUCAUCUGAACAUCAAAGAUUUAUCGCUGAAAGAUGGACCCGCGUCUGAUUAGCUUGUUGGUGGGGUAACGGCCUACCAAGGCGACGAUCAGUAGCCGGCCUGAGAGGGUGAACGGCCACAUUGGGACUGAGACACGGCCCAAACUCC